rnacentral:lncRNA from 1 species
UUCACAUUUUGUGACUGAUGGGUUAUGAUAAUGAUGACAUGGCAGUUGAACGUUAAAGACGAGAUUUCAUGAAGCAUGUUGCUCAUGCCAAGUGGUUUUCAGGCAUCAAGCUUAAAAGCAAAAUAUCAUUGCGUACAUUAUACCUACCGAUUAGGGAUGUACUUGAGGCAACCCCAAACUGACUGACCACCCAUGGAAAACCCCAUAACAUAAAACUUAGGGCCAAGUCCCAGCUGAUCAGCGAGCUCUUCCAUAUCCAAAGCUGUAGUUUGUAUUGUUCGCUCUGGAUCAGGAUCACUUUCCCCAUAACCAGGUCUAUCAAAAGAGACAACAUACGCCCCUAAUUCUUCAAGUGUUUCCUGAAAGAAAC